AAAAGCGACAUCAGUGUACGGGAACAAUCCCGUCUAAUAACAGCAAUUUUUGUUACAAAGAAAUAAAUCGACUACCACCCAAUGCUUAAAGAAUAAGCAGCUACGGAUAUUACCGUCCACCAUCUAGUUACCUUUCAGAUUUGGCUGAGAAAAAAAGGAAGAAGUAGAAGAAAAAAAAGUGAGUUGCUGCAGUAUUUCCUGUGAGAGAGGAAGAAGGAAGUGGCUGGUGGAGAGAGAUUCUGGAGUCUGCUCCCUCAAAACAAUAAAAAUCUUACUUGUGAAGGAAACGGACCUGCGUCAAAGGGGACCUGACAGAGUGUUUGAAAGGCCAGUAGCAAUGACCCAUUGGACACGUGAGCAUAUGAUUGUUUGCCUGAAGUCUUUAGUCCAGCUCUUUGCACUCCCACAGAGCACAAAGACCACUUCUGUCGUUUAAAAACAAUAGCCACUGCAAAAGGGGAUUUGUUGUAAGGUUUACAUUACUGGAAUAUAUUAUUUUUGGUAAGAAAUAAAUUUUAAAUAUGGCAUCUUCUCAUAGUGAGAAUUUGUGUGCUUUCUAGCACUUAUUUGUCUGUAACUUCUUUCAAGAAAGUGCAGAGAUAAUGGAGCAAAGUGUAACCAUAGAGUAACACUAAAGUAUAGUGCUGUGUAGCGCUUAAACAUUUUAAGUAAACAACAUUAAUAUAGUGCCAUUAAAUAUACAUUCAAAAUGUACGAUUGAACCACAGGCACAAAUUACCUUCUAGUUUAAAAAGGGGUUUGUCAAGCCAGUUAAUAAUAAUUCCAAAAAAGAAGAACAAAUGUUUUUAGAGAAGUAUGGACCCAAACAGGAUAGGAAGGUUUCUGGCUUAGCACAUGUAUCGAAAGCUAUGUUUUGACUUGGAGUCAACAAAGACUGUGCCUGCUCUGCAUGACUCUGGCACCAGUUCUCAUCAAGGAGAUCCUCUGGUCCAGCUGGAAAGUCCCACACAUGUUCUUUAGGACUAAGGCUCAAUAACUGGCAAGGCUUCUGCACUUCUGUAACCACAAGUUGACAAGGUUUUGCCUGUGGAUUGAAGCACUGUCAUCCCUUAAAGUCAUCGCUCCCAGCAUGGAAGAAUCAUGAUGGCACAACGUGACUGUUAUAUUGGAAUGCACACUCUGCUUCUGACUGAAUGAUUGGCUGUAGGCAAAGCCAGAGAGUCAUGCCCCAUACCGUUUUGGAGCUGCCAGCAAUACUUAGUGCUGAAGCCGAGCACUUUGUUCUGUCGGAACGCGUAUUCGUGUCUGUUUGCAGUGAACAUUGUGGGAGACAAUGCUCCACACUAUCAUUCUCUACUCCAAAACUGUCCCACAUGAAUAAAGCGGUUUCUGGUCUUGUGAGCAGUUUGCUGUGGAAACCUCCUGUGGGACUGAGGCCUGAAAAGUUCUCUUUGUCCAACUAGACACGCAAGAUACAUACAGUAUAGGCUACUUCUGUGUCGCUUUUUUGGUUCUCUUCACAGUGCAAACUAAUAUCUCUGAAUUUUAGCUUUUUAUGUGGCCUUUGCCCAGGUAAUGAUAAUAUCCCUGCAUUCUCGUGAUUGGAAGAACUCCAGUUUACCGGUACUCAUACAAGUGCAAAUGGCAAAUAAAGAAUUCAUCAUAUUCCCCAA